UAACAUAGAACUACUUCUUAAUUACUAAGAUCGAUAGAUCUCAUCUAAGUACACAUCCUAUUCCUAUAAUGAACCUACUGCAGCCAACAUAUAUCUCAAGACUCCGUAUGGUUAGGAGAUCGAGUUAUGAUGCAGUCAAACUACAACAACCUCAUUGUGAACAGUCGAGGUACCACAGGUCUAAGAACUAGUCAUACCACACAGCAUCCAGAAUAUCACUAUCGAGU
rnacentral:lncRNA from 1 species